rnacentral:rRNA from 1 species
UGUGACCUCGGAUCAGGUUGCAUGACGUAAUGAAACUUAAGCAUA